UAGGGAAUCUUCCGCAAUGGGCGAAAGCCUGACGGAGCAACGCCGCGUGAGUGAUGAAGGUCUUCGGAUCGUAAAACUCUGUUAUUAGGGAAGAACAAAUGUGUAAGUAACUAUGCACGUCUUGACGGUACCUAAUCAGAAAGCCACGGCUAACUACGUGCCAGCAGCCGCGGUAAUACGUAGGUGGCAAGCGUUAUCCGGAAUUAUUGGGCGUAAAGCGCGCGUAGGCGGUUUUUUAAGUCUGAUGUGAAAGCCCACGGCUCAACCGUGGAGGGUCAUUGGAAACUGGAAAACUUGAGUGCAGAAGAGGAAAGUGGAAUUCCAUGUGUAGCGGUGAAAUGCGCAGAGAUAUGGAGGAACACCAGUGGCGAAGGCGACUUUCUGGUCUGUAACUGACGCUGAUCUGCGAAAGCGUGGGGAUCAAACAGG
rnacentral:rRNA from 1 species